UCAUAUGCUGGACACAGUUUAUGCAGACGGCGCUACCGUUUCAUCCUAAGCGAGUAAAAUAGUGAAUUUGGAUGAUAAAACAAACUAAACCAACGUUUGGAUCGAUAUCUGCAUCGAUCUGCCCACCCUUGUCUCCUGGAUCGUAGCUGAGAUCAGCGUGAACCACGUGGGUCUCUGCUCCCUGAUCUGUUUCCUGUGUUUGGAAAGAGUUCCAGCUUCAUCACGGAGUUUCUCUCGGUUUGUGGGCUCAUCUAAAGCUGAUCAGCAGGAGGAGAAGAGUCUGACGGAGCAGCAGAGGAACAUUUUCAGCCAUCUGGACUCAGCUGAGUCACUACAGAGGAAACAAUGAGCUCAACACAGAAGGACCAACAUGGAGCGAGAAGUCAGCGCUCUCAGGAGGCCGACAAACCUCACAGAAGAAAGAGAGAGAACAAAUACACCUGUGACGAGUGUGGGAAGGGUUUUCCUGCUAAGUCUAAACUAAAACGUCAUCAGGUCAUCCACACUGGAGAGAGACCGUUCAGUUGUGAAUUGUGUGGAAAGACUUUUUCCUGGAAGCGUUCCCUAAAAGCACACCAACUCAUCCACAGUGGAGUUAAAGCGUACAGCUGUGAUCAGUGUGGCAGAGCUUUUACUCACAGUAGCCACUUAAAGAGGCAUCUAGUUACCCACUCUGGAGUUAAGGCAUACAGCUGUGACAUUUGUGGAAAAACUUUCAGCCGGAUAGGGAGCCGAAAUACACACCUACGCAUUCACACCGGACAUGAUGUGUACUGCUGUGAUCAGUGUGGCAAACGCUGUACUACAGACACACAACUAAAACGUCACGUUUACCCACACUGAGGAACAACCUCAUAAAUGUGCCCUUUGUGGAAAAGCUUUCACUCAGCAAAUGGCCCUAAAAACACAUCAACAUAAACACGCUGGAGACAAACUUAAAUACUGCAACGAAUGUGGGAGAAGCUUCACCACAUCAAGUGGAUUAAAACAACAUGAACUCAUUCACAGUGGGGUCAAAAAGCACCUCUGUGAUCAGUGUGGGGCAUCCUUCAACAGUGCCGGUAGCCUUAAAACACACAAACGAGUCCACACAGGAGAGAAACCAUACAAGUGCAGAUACUGUGACAAAAGCUUCUCAUGUUCAAGUAGUCGUAAAAAGCAUGAACGUAUACACAUGGAAGGAAACUACAGCUGUGACCAGUGUGACAAGAGCUUCAGGAAUCUCAGUUCAUACUCCGAACACAAACGAUCCCACAUUACUAAUAAACUGUUUCACUGUUACCAAUGUGCCAAAACAUUCACUAAAUUAUCUGCUCUGUGCAAACAUCAGCGUGAUCACUCAGGGCUGAAAUCACUCCCAUCACAGUGAAUCUGAAGAGACAGAAAGAUCCUCUUCUGGUUUGAGGGUCUGUUGGGUUUAAGUCAACCCUGCUGGUUAAGGCAGAAAUGGUUACUAAGAGAAACCACACAGACACUGUUAGAUUUAUCUAGUUACAAACCUAUUGCUGGAACAGCCGAGACAACCUCCUGCAAAUAGCAAACAUAAGCCACCAGGCGGAACUCUUUGUGUGAUCUCGCGUGCAGGGAGCCAACUGAGGUCAAGCGUUGCUCCACCCACUUCAACGAGAGUUAGACUCUCAGCUGGCUUUUUCCUAGCACUGCUUUUAUUGUGGUUACAUGAAUAUGCAUAGUUUCAUUAACAUGUGACUCUCAAACAGGCAUAUGUGUGACCAGUCUGUGUGUACAUGUAGAUAUGCGUGUGUGUAAAUGCCUCCCCAGAUAGCUGGGCCAGGGAGUCCAGCAGUUCACCUAAACAAAGGGUUCUUAUACUUAAACAGAUACAGAUGUGUUUGCCAUACCAUAUAUCAGAAAGAGAAGAUACGACCUCUCUCAUGACCUUAGGAUGUUUGUGAGGUAUGCCACAAAAUCCUGGAAAGGGAGUGAACGUACUCCCCUUUUUAUGGUACACAGAUGCUGUGUCCCAAUCCAGCCACUGCACGCUUUCUAAUACGUGCAGUUCGCGUACUAGAAAGUAUGAGAAGUGCGGAAGUGAGAGGCUCGUGAAAUGGGACGUCUGGCCUUUGUCGCGCUGCUCAGGUUGCCUAGCAACCAUGAUACUAACCGCGAGAAACGUUUCACACAGCAUUGUGUGACAGACAUGUAGGAGAACAAAUUUUUUUUUGUUCUUUCAGUUUUUUUAUGACAUCACUUUGGUUGAGUAUCUGAGGCUGAGACCACGGGACUGUAACAACAUGAUUGUUGGGUUUCAUUUCUGUACUGAACAGUAUUGGGAUUAGAGAAAUUAUUUCACUGUUAUUGUUCAUAGUACCAUGGCAUUAAUCACAUAAUCUCCAAGUAGGGAUAGUGCAUUUAGAUGUUUAAACAUAUUGGCACCCAAUUAAGCUUUUAUUACAGGUCCAGUAAGAACCACUUUAAACUGUUGAGUUGAAUCUAUAAUUUUAAAGGCUUUUUGAAUGUGGUUUUAUUCUUACACUGAACCUGCACAGACUUCAGUGAGUGAGAGACUGAGUUGCAGGCUGACAGGAAACGCCAUGCUUUGCAAAAGUGAAACUGAAAGCAGAGUCUAAGUGCAAGCUAAGAGCAGGUUAUUUUAUUAUGCAUUUAUAUCUUUGAUUAAGCUUUGAUUAAGUUUUAAGUAGUUGUAUUAGAUUGAAACAUUUGUUUUAUAUAUUUUAUAUAUAUGUCAAGAUUAUUACACACAUACACACAUACCGACACAUAUAGUUUCAGCUGUGUAUGUGCGGGCCUUAUGUCUGAAGAUGACUAGAGGUGCGAGGUGAGACAGAGUGCAGACGAGGUCAUGGCAUAUACACACACACACACACUCAGUUAGAAUCAUUUGUAGGUGAAAGUUUAAGCAUGUUUUGCUGUGACUGUAUUUUUGUGUAUACGUGACUGCUUGAUGAAGAAGCAGGUGCAGGAUGUUCCAGAGAUAAGCGACAGCGGAGGCGAGCUGGGGGAAGCACCUGGCUUCGAGCUGAAGACGAUGUUCUUUUUAAACUAUGUCAAAGUUAACUGAACAUUUGUGGUUUUGGAUUGACGUAUGCAUGUAACUGUGUCUGCUUAAUGCAGGAAGGGGCGUUGUAUUACCCCCAACCCUAUAAAACCUUUGUUUGUGUCGUUGUUGAGCAGAGAUCAAUGCUGUCUGUGUACAGGAUUCAUCUCUCCGCGCGUAUUCAUUAAAAUGUCGUCUA